rnacentral:rRNA from 1 species
UACGGAGGUGGCGAGCGUUACUCGGAAUUAUUGGGUGUAAAGGGCAAGUAGGCGGUUUGUUAAGUGAGGGGUGAAAUCUUCCGACUCAAUCGGGAAACUGCCUUUCAAACUGACAGACUUGAGUGUGGAAGGGGGAAAUGGAAUUCGCGGUGUAAGGGUGAAAUCUGUAGAUAUCGCGAAGAACACCAGCGGUGAAGACGGUUUCCUGGUCCAUAUCUGACGCUGAAUUGCGAAAGCUAGGGGAGCAAACAGA